CCCUUAGAUGUUCUGGGCCGCACGCGCGCUACACUGACGGAGGCAGCGAGCGUGUCCUUCGCCGGCAGGUGCGGGCAAUCUUGCGAGUCUCCGUCGUGCUGGGGAUAGAUGGUUGCAAUUGUCGAUCUUGAACGAGGAAUUCCUAGUAAGCGCGAGUCAUCAGCUCGCGCUGAUUACGUCCCUGCCCUUUGUACACACCGCCCGUCGCUACUACAGAGUGCCCGUGUCCAAGAAACGGUCGGACCUGUGCGGCCUCUCCGGGCGACCGGAGGGCCGUUACGGGGAAGACCCUUUAUUUGACGCGGGGCGAUGAAGUAAAAGUCGUAACA
rnacentral:rRNA from 1 species